rnacentral:tRNA from 1 species
AAANGCCGUCGACUUUCNAAUCGUGAGGGGUCAGGUCCCUCUAUCCC